AUGAACGCUGGCGGCGUGCCUAAUACAUGCAAGUCGCGCGAACAGAUAAGGAGCUUGCUCCUUUGACGUUAGCGGCGGACGGGUGAGUAACACGUGGGUAACCUACCUAUAAGACUGGAAUAACUCCGGGAAACCGGGGCUAAUGCAGGAUAACAUGUUGAACCGCAUGGUUCUACAGUGAAAGGCGGCUUUGCUGUCACUUAUAGAUGGACCCGCGCCGUAUUAGCUAGUUGGUGAGGUAACGGCUCACCAAGGCAACGAUACGUAGCCGACCUGAGAGGGUGAUCGGCCACACUGGAACUGAGACACGGUCCAGACUCCUACGGGAGGCAGCAGUAGGGAAUCUUCCGCAAUGGGCGAAAGCCUGACGGAGCAACGCCGCGUGAGUGAUGAAGGUCUUCGGAUCGUAAAACUCUGUUAUUAGGGAAGAACAAAUGCGUAAGUAACUGUGCGCGUCUUGACGGUACCUAAUCAGAAAGCCACGGCUAACUACGUG
rnacentral:rRNA from 1 species